CAAUAGACUACCCCGGUAGUCCACGCCGUAAACGAUGAGUGCUAAGUGUUAGGGGUUUCCGCCCUUAGUGCUGCAGCUAACGCAUUAAGCACUCCGCCUGGGGAGUACGGUCGCAAGACUGAAACUCAAAGGAAUUGACGGGGGCCCGCACAAGCGGUGGAGCAUGUGGUUUAAUUCGAAGCAACGCGAAGAACCUUACCAGGUCUUGACAUCCCACUGACCGCUAUGGAGACAUAGUUUUCCCUUCGGGGACAGUGGUGACAGGUGGUGCAUGGUUGUCGUCAGCUCGUGUCGUGAGAUGUUGGGUUAAGUCCCGCAACGAGCGCAACCCUUGAUCUUAGUUGCCAUCAUUUAGUUGGGCACUCUAAGGUGACUGCCGGUGACAAACCGGAGGAAGGUGGGGAUGACGUCAAAUCAUCAUGCCCCUUAUGACCUGGGCUGCACACGUGCUACAAUGGACGGUACAAACGGUUGCCAACCCGCGAGGGGAGCUAAUCCGAUAAAACCGUUCUCAGUUCGGAUUGUAGGCUGCAACUCGCCUA
rnacentral:rRNA from 1 species